rnacentral:rRNA from 1 species
UUAAUCAGAUUAAUUUGAGGAAGAGAGCGCAGGACGACAAUAAAACCGCUAUAACGUACGGGGCUGGCAGUUUGAUGGUCGAGAAUGGUGGGACUGUAGAUGAUAGUGACAGGAGUUGGACGGAGUAUAAUCCGUUAUUUGAUGGGAAGUAUAUUAUUGAUGUGUGUAAGCGUGUAGAGGAUUAUGCGAAAGAGAAGCAUAAUGUAGAGGUGGGGUAAGAGCCUACCAAGGCUUCGAUCAGUAGCUGGUCUGAGAGGAUGAUCAGCCACACUGGGACUGAGACACGGCCCAGACUCCUACGGGAGGCAGCAGUGGGGAAUUUUCCGCAAUGGGCGAAAGCCUGACGGAGCAACGCCGCGUGAGGGAUGAAGGCCUCUGGGCUGUAAACCUCUUUUAUCAAGGAAGAAGAUCUGACGGUACUUGAUGAAUAAGCCACGGCUAAUUCCGUGCCAGCAGCCGCGGUAAUACGGGAGUGGCAAGCGUUAUCCGGAAUUAUUGGGCGUAAAGCGUCCGCAGGCGGCCUUUUAAGUCUGUCGUUAAAGCGUGGAGCUUAACUCCAUUUAAGCGAUGGAAACUGGAAGGCUAGAGUGUGGUAGGGGCAGAGGGAAUUCCCGGUGUAGCGGUGAAAUGCGUAGAUAUCGGGAAGAACACCAGUGGCGAAGGCGCUCUGCUGGGCCAUAACUGACGCUCAUGGACGAAAGCCAGGGGAGCGAAAGGGAUUAGAUACCCCUGUAGUCCUGGCCGUAAACGAUGAACACUAGGUGUCGGGGGAAUCGACCCCCUCGGUGUCGUAGCCAACGCGUUAAGUGUUCCGCCUGGGGAGUACGCACGCAAGUGUGAAACUCAAAGGAAUUGACGGGGGCCCGCACAAGCGGUGGAGUAUGUGGUUUAAUUCGAUGCAACGCGAAGAACCUUACCAGGGUUUGACAUCCUGCGAAUCCCUUGGAAACGAGGGAGUGCCUUCGGGAGCGCAGUGACAGGUGGUGCAUGGCUGUCGUCAGCUCGUGUCGUGAGAUGUUGGGUUAAGUCCCGCAACGAGCGCAACCCACGUCGUUAGUUGCCAGCAUUCAGUUGGGCACUCUAGCGAGACCGCCGGUGAUAAACCGGAGGAAGGUGUGGAUGACGUCAAGUCAUCAUGCCCCUUACAUCCUGGGCUACACACGUACUACAAUGCUACGGACAAAGGGCAGCAAACUCGCGAGAGCUAGCAAAUCCCAUAAACCGUGGCUCAGUUCAGAUCGUAGGCUGCAACUCGCCUACGUGAAGGAGGAAUCGCUAGUAAUCGCAGGUCAGCAUACUGCGGUGAAUACGUUCCCGGGCCUUGUACACACCGCCCGUCACACCAUGGAAGUUGGCCACGCCCGAAGCCGUUACUCCAACCCUUGUGGAGGAGGAUGUCGAAGGUGGGGCUGAUGACUGGGGUGAA